AAGCGCUGGCAACCAGACUUGUGUGCGGGGGUUCCCCCUUGCUUCUGCUUGGGCUACUCCCCCGUAUCCAGGCCAACAUCGGUUUUGACGGCCGGUUAAAGGCCUUGGGAAUGUAUCUUCCUCCGGGAAGACUUAUAGCUCAGGGUGUAAUGCAGCCUAUCUGGACCGAGGAACGCGCUUUUGCUCGGAUGCUGGCGUAAUGGUUGUAAGCG
rnacentral:rRNA from 1 species